UUCAGAGGAACCUGUUCUGUAAUUGAUGAUCCACGUUUUAAUUUACUUAUUUUAUUAAUUUACAUAUCGCCGUAGGUUGAAUAUUUUAAAAGAAUAAUUAUAUUCAAGAUUUUAAAAGAAUAAGAAAAUCAGGUCAAGGUGUAGUUUAUAAAUAAGAAGAAAUGGGUUACAAUAAAAAAAAUUAAAUGGAUAGUUAAUUGAAAAAUUAGCUUGAAAGUGGAUUUGAUAGUAAUUUUAAUAAAAUUAUUAAAGUGAUUUUAGCUCUAAAAUAUGUACAUAUCGCCCGUCAUUUUCAUUAUAAAAUGAAACAAGUCGUAACAUAGUAGGUGUACUGGAAAGUGUACCUAGAACGACAGAUUAGAGCUUGAUUAAAGCAUUUUAUUUACAUUAAAAAGUUAAUUGUGAAAAUCAAUUUAAUUUGAAUUGAUUUAAUUAUUAGAAUUUAGAUUUUUAAAUUAAUUUUGAUAAAGUAAUUUAAGGUUUUAUUAUAACAAUGAAAAAAUUUUUUUAAUUAUAGUAAAUUAGUAUUGUGAAAGAAAUUAUAAAAAACAUGGCCUUUUGAGUAUAAUUUUAGGUCUAACCUGCCCAAUGAAAAUUUUAAUGGCCGCGGUAUUUUGACCGUGCAAAGGUAGCAUAAUCAUUUGUUUUUUAAUUGAAAGCUAGAAUGAAGGGUUGAAUGAAAAAAUAACUGUCUCUAUUUAAUUUUAUUAGAAUUUUAUUUUUAAGUUAAAAAGCUUAAAUAAUUUUUGAAGACGAGAAGACCCUAUAGAGUUUAAUAUUUUUUAAAUUUAAUUAGUUUAGUAAUUAUUUUUUUUUAGUUUAAAAAUUAUUUGAUUGGGGUGAUUAAAAAAUUAAAUAAACUUUUUUUGUAUAUAAUCAUUGAUUAAUGAGUGAUUGAUCCUUUAAAAGAUUAAAAGUUUAAAUUACCUUAGGGAUAACAGCGUAAUUUAUUUUUAGAGUUCAAAUCGAAAAAUAAGAUUGCGACCUCGAUGUUGGAUUAAAAUUAAUAUUUGGUGUAGAAGCUAAAUCUAUUGGGUCUGUUCGACCCUUAAAAUUUUACUUGAUCUGAG
rnacentral:rRNA from 1 species